rnacentral:tRNA from 11 species
CUUAAAUCUGUGUUUAUAUAAACAAUAAACCUUCUUCACCGCUGUGGAUGAAUUGUUGAUUAUCAAU